rnacentral:rRNA from 1 species
CCUACGGGGGGCAGCAGUGGGGAAUAUUGGACAAUGGGGGCAACCCUGAUCCAGCCAUGCCGCGUGUGUGAAGAAGGCCCUCGGGUUGUAAAGCACUUUCAGUGAGGAAGAACGCCUGGUGGUUAAUACCCAUCAGGAAAGACAUCACUCACAGAAGAAGCACCGGCUAACUCCGUGCCAGCAGCCGCGGUAAUACGGAGGGUGCGAGCGUUAAUCGGAAUUACUGGGCGUAAAGCGCGCGUAGGUGGCUUGAUAAGCCGGUUGUGAAAGCCCCGGGCUCAACCUGGGAACGGCAUCCGGAACUGGCAAGCUAGGGUGCAGGAGAGGAAGGUAGAAUUCCCGGUGUAGCGGUGAAAUGCGUAGAGGUCGGGAGGAAUACCAGUGGCGAAGGGGGCCUUCUUGACUGACACUGGCACUGGGGUGCGAAAACGUGGGUAGCAAACAGGAUUAGAUACCCUAGUAGUC